CAGUGCAUAGUCAACUAAGGCCCUUAGUCAAUCGAUUAAAUUAAAGUUUAAAUCUUCCUAAUCGAUUAAGAACACUUCUAUUCGAUUAAUACACUAGCCAUUGUAGGGUUUCCUUUUUGGAAAUUAGGGAUUUUGUUUUUAUGAAGCACAUAAUCGAUUAAACCAAUGGUAUAGUAAAUUAUGAGCAUUAAAAAGCCCAUAGAGAGUUUUCCUUUUGGGGCCAUAUUUCUCACCUAUAAAUAAAGGUAUUCCCUCACUUAUAAAUU
rnacentral:lncRNA from 1 species